rnacentral:rRNA from 1 species
UACGGGGGGGGCAAGCGUUGUUCGGAAUUACUGGGCGUAAAGGGCUCGUAGGUGGCCAACUAAGUCAGACGUGAAAUCCCUCGGCUUAACCGGGGAACUGCGUCUGAUACUGGAUGGCUUGAGUCCGGGAGAGGUGAGUGGAACUGCGAGUGUAGAGGUGAAAUUCGUAGAUAUUCGCAAGAACACCAGUGGCGAAGGCGGACUCACUGGCCCGGUACUGACGCUGAGGUGCGAAAGCGUGGGGAGCAAACAGG